rnacentral:rRNA from 1 species
UACGUAGGGGGCAAGCGUUGUCCGGAUUUAUUGGGCGUAAAGAGCGUGUAGGCGGCUAGGUAGGUCCGUUGUGAAAACUCGAGGCUCAACCUCGAGACGCCGAUGGAAACCAUCUAGCUAGAGUCCGGAAGAGGAGAGUGGAAUUCCUGGUGUAGCGGUGAAAUGCGCAGAUAUCGGGAGGAACACCUAUGGCGAAGGCAGCUCGCUGGGACGUUACUGACGCUGAGACGCGAAAGCGUGGGGAGCAAACAGG